CGGAAUGAUAUUUUGAACAAGCUUCUUCCAGCGAUACAGUGAAAACAUGAAGAAGGAAAAGGACAAAAAAAGAUAUCUCAAGUCAGAGGAUACGCCUGUAUGAUCCAAGAGACAGAGGGGAAUUGGCUUCAUGAGAACCUUGACCAUCAGACAGAAGUGGGGGGCCGGCUUCUUCAAUCACUCUGGACUCACUCAACAGAAACCCCUAGACUAUCUUUGCUCCUCGGGAUCAUCAACAAAAAGAUUCUGGACUCCUUCAUCUUUAACACGAACCAUCAUUUGCAUACAAAGAAAAAAAGGCAACCUCUUUGGACCUUCAUCUUCAACCAUCAUUCAGUCUCAGUCUCUAUGAUGGCGUCCACCAUUUCAUGAGCAGAGGAAGAAAACGAGAGGCCAGCAUCUGAAAAAGAGAAAAAAUAAUACUGAAAAAAGACCGUUCACUCCACCAAAANAAAGAUCCAUCUUCUAACCUAUCAAAACCUCCAAAGCCAUUUUUAUACAAAAACAAAAAAAAAACAUCCGAUAAUCAUCUCUCACAGCUACACUCUUCAUUAUCCUCACCAUAUCAAUCACUAUCCCUACCGGAGCUUGGUGUCCAAUACCACAAAGAAAAGAAAAAGAAGUGGUGCUUCAUUUGAAGAAAAGGAGUUACAGGAAGAGCAAAAAUGUCGACAUAAAAGCCACCGAAGACGCUAGGCAAUAGCACAUGAGCUCCGAGAGGUAAGCAACUCCAUCGCUUAUUCAUAUUCGCAGGUAUAGUAGAGUAAGUUUGUUGUAUUAUAGACAACAAUUUAUGCUUGUUGUUGCGCUUUAUACUUGCUAUUGCUAUGCCGCCUGUGUAUGAAUCUUCACCACUCUUCAAUCCCAUCACCAUCAUCAACUUUGACUCAUACCAUCCAAACCUCUAAGGCCAUCUUCCUGCGAGAGAAAAGCCUAACCUAUUCACAACAGAUCCAUCAUCUUCCUAUCCCAAAUUUCCCCUACUAAAGAAAUACNAGCAAGCCAUAAACUAACUCCUCAUAAUCUUCAACCACAAUCACAACAGACGACAGAACCAGUAUCCUCAUCUUUACCAGAACUGCCAUUCUGUUUCUCCUUCACCUACAAUAGAAACCGAAAACAACGCCCACGGACACAGGAAGGAAGCUAAGCAAAAUCAGAAAAUCCCUCACACAAUCCCGAUUCCAUUUAUCUGCAAAAAAAAAGGAUCCAAUCCAAACCUGAAUCAAUCGCAACAACCAUAAACCAAGUCAGAUAAUGAAGCUAUGUUUUCAUGUCUUUGUUUACUUCACAUCACCAACUAAGGAACCAAAUUCUAGAGCCAGAAAGACAUAGAC
rnacentral:lncRNA from 1 species